GACCUACUUCGUGUAUAUGUAAUAACAAGCUUUUAUAAACGUGACAGCAAGUUUCUGUAGCUUCAUAGUGUCUCGUUACAAUAUACACCAUGAAAACAAGUGUUGCUGUUAUCAUUCUGUUCGUUUGCCUUUCGGGCAUUACCAUAAACGAAACCGAAGGGAUCAAAAUAAAAUGUAGAUGGGGAGGAUGUCCGUUCAACAAAACCUGUCACCUCUGUUGUGACCACGUAAGGCAGGGCUGCAUUGGUGGAAAGUGUAGGGGAUUCCUAUGUGUAUGUGAUUGCCCUGCUGGAUAAAAGAGACA